GUCGGUGCGGUUGUUGAAGUCGCGUUUGUGCAGUGCUGCUCUUUGUUUCAUCGAUUUAUAAAGGUUUUACACUCCGCGCUUUGUUGACGUGUGUGGUCUAAUCGUGUUGUGUACGUGAGUGGCGUGUAACUAGUGAUACAGCACGCAAGGACAGCCAUUAACGUGCGCGAUCCGCCGCAAAUCAGCCACGAGGCAUUGCAACGGGCACGCUCAGUGGGCUGCGCGGCCGUUGCGACGAGCUGCAUUGCUGAUUCUUCGCUUGAGACUGGCAAUUGUCGAGCGGGUUGCAUCCGUUGUUACGUUGCCCGAAGACAGUAGUAAAUGUGAUUUGCAGGGUGCAAGCAACGUGUCAUUGUGGUUAGAAAAAAUGAAUCAGUAUACAUGUGAUUUAACUGUCAAAGCCGGAAUGUUUAAAGGAUCGACUGUCCAGCGAGGAGAUUGCGGAAUCAGCAACUGACAUAUUGACUGAUGAAACAUGAUGGUGCGUGCAGCAAGAGA